AUGCAUCAGGAUUUGUUAGUUUGUGAGGAAAGAGGCAAGGUCAAUGAGUUUCUCGACUCGGUUAAAUCAGCCAUGCCACAACCUGAUCCAAACAGUGUAGAAAAAUGGAAAAAUGACCCCGACAGAGCACAUUGGGAGUUGAUGAGGAUGAUUGUCGUUCAUGAAUUGCCAUUCUCCAUAGUGGAAUAUGAUGGGUUUAGGCGAUUUGUGCAUAGUCUGAAUCCAACAUUUGAGGUGGUGUCUAGGAUGACAAUAACACUUGGUUGCCUCCUUCUAUUUGAUGAACAAAGGACAAAGCUUUGA
rnacentral:rRNA from 1 species